CCUAUUUUAUCCCUCAUUUGUCACCAAAUUACGAUUACUUUCUCUCUAACAAAAUAAACCCUACGCUCACACAACAAAGCUGAUCAUAAUUCCUCCCUCCUCCGACGCCGCCUCCAUGGCCGCUUCCCAUCUUCCUCUUCUCGCUCAAAGGUCGAUUUCUUCUCGGUCUUCUGUCCUUUCUUUCUGUUAAAUCCUACAAAUAGAUUCAUAAUCCAUGUCCACAAAAUCGCCGGCGACACCGAUUCUCUCCACUCCGAUUCUGGAUAAGAUGGUGUUUCCAGAGAAGGCCAACCCUGACUGGGGACAGUGUGUUGGUGAUGAAGGAUGAUGACAGAGAAAUGCGCGAGAGAAGCGUGGCUGGACCACGGCAACGGUGGCCUGAUUGAUUUCCAAAACCUAGACCAGCCUGAUCGAUCGAUCAAUCUCUCGUUCCCGAUGAGUGGAAAAAGUUGCCGUUGCAGAGCAAUGAGUUGUGUGAUCAAGGAUCAACUAACUUGAAUUUAGAAAGUCCUUGAAGACAUUCCAACUUCACACUGAUAUACAGCUCUUGAUGCACUCAAGUUGGUUACACCAUAUGAUGAUUACUUCCACUGUGAAAGCUGCAAUGGGAUCCUUGUGGCUGAAAGUGACAAAUUUACUGCUCAAGAAUUAGGAGAUGGAGAUGAUAAUGCAUGAAGGCAUCGCCAUGAAAA